CGGGGCGUAGCGCAGUCUGGUCAGCGCACUACCUUGGGGUGGUAGAGGUCGCAGGUUCAAAUCCUGUCGCUCCGACCA
rnacentral:tRNA from 2 species